ensembl:lncRNA HPN-AS1 HPN antisense RNA 1
AGGACAGGAGGAGCCGCAGAGCUCGUAAUUGCUGCGGGGAGGACAGGCCAGCUCUGGAAGAAAACAGGUGGACCUGGGUCCCAUUAACCUGGACAGACACCUCCAAGAUGAGCAUGAGGGGGCUGCUGGAUCUGUUCUCCUUUCACAGCUGUAUCCUGAAGAAUGGCAGUGAGCCGGAAGAGCCACAGGAUUCGGCAAAGACGGACACACAGGCAACACAAAAAGGAUGUUCUGGGUCACCUGGUGUGCCUGCCAAGUUGUUGGAUAUAUUUAGAAGUGUGAAAAUCCCAGGAAAAAAAAAGCGAGGGUGAGAGGAAGAACCUCCUUCCAUGCUGUGUGGUUCAGAGGACUUCAGCGCCUCCAGUGGGACAGGAAGCAUCUGCAUCCUGGGGUUCCCCCAGUAUGAGAGGCAUCCUCCCUGCAUGUCUCUACUGGGACAGGCAGCAUCCUCAUCUGGCCCACGGUGUGGGACGCAUCCUCAUCCUCCCUGCGUGUCUCUACUGGGACAGGCAGCAUCCUCAUCUGGCCCAGGGUGUGGGACGCAUCCUCAUCCUCCCUGCGUGUCUCUACUGGGACAGGCGGCACGUCAACAUCAAUUCUUUGAUCCCAGCAGCAGGGCUAUUUCCCUUGGUAAGCCAGACCUCCCCCACCCCUACAUCUCCCUGAGACUCUCUGCCCCUGCUUCUCCAGGCCCCUCUGGAUGCCUUGGGUCUUCUCAUAGGUCAGUUCUUCCGCCUCCACCAUUUGGCUGCAAAGACCCCCACGCGUAACACCUUUGGCUCUCUGGCUCUGAAAAUCCACUCAACUGGUGGCUCCGUGUCUCGGGCCUCAUCUUACAUGACUGCAGCUUCCUGUAUAAAUGCUCUCCUCUUUGGACUUCUGGGACACCAGGCGCACCUGAUUUUCCUUCCCGCCUCUGAGGCUGCUGUCUUCACCCACCCUCUACCUACUCCGUAAAAUCCAGAGUUUGUAGGGCUGGCCGCAGCCUCCCCCUGCUCCUCCUUGCCCCUAAGUCUGUCUCACCCACCUCUGUGGACUCAGUUUCCCCUCUGUCCCCAGCCCUAGACCCUCUUCCAGGUCCCAGGUCAGGGCUCCUGCAGUCCUUUAAAUACCUUUUAAAUACCUUUCCCUGGGACCUCCUAGUCCCUUUGCCCCUACCAGGUCCCAGAAUGUCUCCCCAAUGUCUCCCCAAGUAUAUUCUUCCUCCCGGUCCUGUCUCAGAGGCCCUCACUCCUAGGACCAUCCCCAUCUGCAUAACAUUCCCCUCCCCCGACAGCCUGCCAAUCCUCCUGAGUGACUCUCCUUCCCCCGUUUCCUUCUUUCUCUCCAUCUGCACCUUGCUCCGGCCCCAUCCAACCGCUGGGCUCAGUCUCCCUUCUAGCGCACCCUCCACACGGAGGCUUGGGGAACCUACUGAGACACCAAAUCCAACCUGUCCCCUCUUUACCUAUAGAACCCUCUGUGACUCCCUAGUACCCCCCAGACAGCUUAAGUCCCUCAGCCUGGCAUUUCCAGCCCCACUAGGGUAUAAGCAUGGCUUUCAGAGAUUUGGGAGUAUGUUUCCCCCAAUUCUCAGACAACCAUGUGGGUCACUAUCAGGUACCAGAGAGAGCUUCCAAAAAGCAACCCAAACAGUAGAACUUGUAAAAUACAAGUUAGACAAGAGAAGCAGGGACUAACCACUGGCGCCACCUUGUGGAGAGACCUGGUACUGCAAGGAAUUGGCCAGCUCUUCCCCAAAACAGUCCCACCCCUGCCUGGUCCAGCUUGCACACCUCUUCUCCCACCCAGCUCAACUUCCAGCUUCACCUCCAGAAAUACCACAAUUGGCUACGUGCACACCAGUGCUGUGUCACCUCCCAGCUUCCCAGAGAAGAGCAAGAGCCUUGCUCUUCCCUCUGCCUGGCAUCCUUGGAAUUGCAACUCCAGUAUCACCUCCUCCAAUUCCAAGUUUCCAGGCAGCACCAAGAAGCCAGCAGCAAUAACAGUGACACCAACAACAGCAGCCGCUGCAGCCACAACGGCUCUCUGAAUCACACACGGACGCACCGCCCUACCCUAACCCCGUCCAGUCCUGCACAGCAUCCUUACUUAAAUCCUUGCAGCUGUUCACGAGGAAGGCGCCAUUGCCAUCACCCCCAGUUUACAGAUGAGAAAAGGAGGCCCAAAGUCCGGCAGCCACCAAACCCGGGUCACCCGGCAAGUAAGUGCAGAAUCGGAACCCUUCAGCAUCUGUGUCCAGGUUCGACCUCCACACCCCUAGCCCUGACAGCAGGACUCCCCUCCAAGACCAGCCCGGAGCUGCCAGGGAGGCACCAGAGCCCACUUUGUGUCUGUUUCUCUUUGUACCCAGGCCAUCUCUGUCCAUUCGGGCAUUUUCUGCUUUUCUUCCCUGGCUCAUUCACCCAUGGGCCCAAGCCCUGGGGCUGUCCUUCCGGCAGCUCCAGGAAAGAGAUUGUCCCCAAGGAGCUGGAUUCUGUCAUCCACCUGCUCGGCUAGGGUGCAAUGCCUUCUCCUGAGUAACUGGGAGCCUGGGUUCCCUCUGGACUGCAGCUGAUUGGUUUGGGGUCUGAAUUGCCAGCUGUGCCGAGACCCGAGGAGGCCAGAGAUCUGAACUAAUCAUUUCAGCCAACACGCUCAGUGCUUCCUGCCCAUCCUGGCAUUUCAGGCCUCGCCCCACGCUGUUGGACAUGCACUGUCACCCUCUCCAUUUCACAGAUGAGAGAAUGGAGGCCCAGGGAGAACACGCCGUCUGCCCAGGGCCACACAGCUAGAAAGUGCUACUGCCCAGGACUGAGCCCGGCUAUCCUGGUUGCGGAAGAAGAGAGGGAGUCAGCCCCAGCUAGGGGAAGGCAGAAAGAACAGGACGCCCCUCCAUGCGCCCCUCCAGCUGGGUCCCAUGUGUGAGAGGUAGAAAGGAAGCCAGGCUAGCUGGGGGCUGCCCAGAGACUCCCAAGGGCCAGCAACUCCAUGACGCAGUCUCUCUCUCUCAUCCUUAUGGUGGUUUCUCUGCCGUCUCUCCCCUCUCCAUCCAUCCAGGCCCAGUCCAAAGUCCUCCCUCUGCUCUUUUGCCCACAGAGCCAGGAGGUGGAGGAAUGUCUGGGAUCGGUGGGGGUCCUGGGUCUCUGGGACUCCGAGUUUGCCAACCUCUGUCAUGACAGCUCUGCUUGAUGGCAUGCGUCUUAUAUGCAGAGCCCCAGACCAGUGCCUGGUGUGUGUCAUGCACUCAGCAACCUCACAGAGGGAGGACUGGUAUCCAUGCUUGACCCAGAGGGAGACCAAAGCCCUAAGAAUAAUGUCACUUGCACCAGAUCACAC